rnacentral:rRNA from 1 species
UGAGUGGCGGACGGCCGAGUAACGCGUAGGGAACCUGGCCCUUACAGGGGGAUAACAGAUGGAAACAACUGCUAAUACCGCAUAAGCGCCCAGCCUCGCAUGAGGCAGAGUGAAAAACUAAGGUGGUAAGGGAUGGCCCUGCGUCCGAUUAGCUAGUUGGUAUGGUAACGGCAUACCAAGGCGACGAUCGGUAGCCGGCCUGAGAGGGUGGACGGCCACAUUGGGACUGAGACACGGCCCAAACUCCUACGGGAGGCAGCAGUGGGGGAUAUUGCACAAUGGGGGAAACCCUGAUGCAGCGACACCGCGUGGGUGAAGAAGCGCUUCGGCGUGUAAAGCCCUAUCAGUGGGGAAGAAAAAGGACGGUACCCAAAGAAGAAGCACCGGCUAAAUACGUGCCAGCAGCCGCGGUAAUACGUAUGGUGCAAGCGUUAUCCGGAAUGACUGGGUGUAAAGGGAGCGUAGACGGUUGUACAAGUCUGAUGUGAAAGCCCACGGCUCAACUGUGGGAGUGCAUUGGAAACUGUAGAACUAGAGUAUCGGAGAGGCAAGUGGAAUUCCUAGUGUAGCGGUGAAAUGCGUAGAUAUUAGGAGGAACACCAGUGGCGAAGGCGGCUUGCUGGACGAAAACUGACGUUGAGGCUCGAAAGCGUGGGGAGCAAACAGGAUUAGAUACCCUGGUAGUCCACGCUGUAAACGAUGAAUACUAGGUGUUGGGGCCCGA